rnacentral:rRNA from 1 species
GACGAACGCUGGCGGCGUGCCUAAUACAUGCAAGUCGAGCGCAGGGAACUGACGGAACUCUUCGGAGGGAAGGUAGUGGAAUGAGCGGCGGACGGGUGAGUAACACGUAAGGAACCUGCCUCAAGGAUUGGGAUAACUCCGAGGAAUCGGAGCUAAUACCGGAUAGUUCAACGGACCGCAUGGUCCGCUGAUGAAAGGCGCUCCGGCGUCACCUUGAGAUGGCCUUGCGGUGCAUUAGCUAGUUGGUGGGGUAACGGCCCACCAAGGCGACGAUGCAUAGCCGACCUGAGAGGGUGAUCGGCCACACUGGGACUGAGACACGGCCCAGACUCCUACGGGAGGCAGCAGUAGGGAAUCUUCCACAAUGGACGAAAGUCUGAUGGAGCAACGCCGCGUGAGUGAUGAAGGUUUUCGGAUCGUAAUACUCUGUUGUAAGGGAAGAACACGUACGAGAGGAAAUGCUCGUACCUUGACGGUACCUUACGAGAAAGCCACGGCUAACUACGUGCCAGCAGCCGCAGUAA